ensembl:lncRNA
GGACUAGCUGAUUGCUUAACUUCCUCUCAGUUCUAACAGUUCUUAACACUCGAUUAUCUACAUGAAGAUGUGAAGGGGAGAGAUGAGCAGGCAUUCAGAAAAAGCGGAUGACACAGGCAUUCAUAGUUCGAGCAUUGUGUGUGUGUAUUUUUAUUUUUGGCCGCACCACGUGGCAUGUGGGAUCUUAACUCUCCGACCAGAGAUCAAACCCUGCAGUGGAAGCAUGGAGUCUUAAACACUGGACCAUCAGGAACGUCUCCACUGGCUCCCCAGGUACUGCUUGUACUGCAGGACUUCCCUGGUAGCUCAGACGGUAAAGCGUCUGCCUACAAUGCGGGAGACCCGGAUUCGAUCCCUGGGUCAGGAAGAUCCCCUGGAGAAGGAAACGGCAACCAACUCCAGUAUUCAUGCCUGGAAAAUCCCAUGGACCUAGGAGCCUGGUGGGCUACAAUCCAUGGGGUCGCAAAGAGUUGGACACGACAGAGAGACUUCACUUCACUUCACUUCACUUCCAGGCUGGCCACACCCUCUCCGGGGUGCGGAUCCCGGGAACCCUGGCCGGACCUCAUUGGCCUGCGGCGCCGCCACUCGGUGAGACGUGCCUCAACCCGGAAGUGUGAGAGGCGAAAUCUGCCUAGCAACCGGGGAAGCCGGGCUGCGAAGCGGGCAAUUUCAGUGUGAGACGGAGCGGCGAGACCAAGCGGCGGCUUCGAGCGCGGCGCG